rnacentral:misc_RNA from 1 species
CACUCGUACAUAAAGGUCCUCACACACAAAAGAAAACAAAAAGAAACAAGAUAGGGCUCAAGAGGCGCGCAGCCAGACAAGUGCGCCGUAAACAGUCUUUUGUAGUGUAGCAGGGCGGACACGGGCGCACUGGGCGCUUGGCGGUCAACCGCCGCCCUCUUGUGUCUCUCUCUUCCUCUGCCGGUACGCAGAAUCCUCGCUUCUGGUGUAGCCCAGCACCGAUGGGUGGGCCACCGGGGUCACAGGUGGCGCAGAAGAAACCAAACCGACCACGGCACAAAAAACAGGAGGGUGUAAGCGAAAAUGGUGCCAGCGCCAAGGGAGCAACGACGCUUGCCUCUUCCAAUGGAUGUGGCGUCACAGCUAUGCAGGCUGCUGCGUCGCCGUCGCCGUUUCAGCCACCACGCCAGCCUAACGUGUACACCGACUGCGCACCGCUGCGAGAGCUGUACGACCAAGUUCGACUGAGUGAAUGCGGCCUCCACGGCAUUAGUGUCAGGGGCGGUGCUGGUCGACCGCGAAGGCGGGAGGAAAAGGGACGCCCCUUCACGCUUCAGCAAUCCUUCAGCGAAUUGCCGUACCCGCGUGGGAUAAUGAACAACAGCAACUUCUGCUUCAUGAAUUCGAUGCUGCAGGCACUCAUGUUCAUUCCCUCCUUUGCGCAACUGACCGUCUCCGUCAGCUGUGAUGCGCAGGCACGCCAGCUGUGCCCCACGCUGGCGACCCUUGGAAAGUGGACACUUCAGUACUGGAAGCCCGGUUUCACGCGGCUAGCGAUGAUAGCCCCAACGUUGAUGCCGCGCUUGCCUGCUGGUGCCAACAACAGUAACAGCGGCGCUCCUCGGUCGGCCGUGGUGCCCGCCUCGCAGCGGAUCCUUGACGGCUCUGUGCAGGAGGACGCGCAGGAGUUUCUGCAGAAGUUGCUAGAGCGUGUGCAUGAAGAGCUGGUGGGUCUCGAGGAAGCUUUUCAGCAGGCCGACGCGUCUGAAGCGGCGACGGAGAGCGAAAUGGGGUUGAUUGCCCCUGCUGCCACCACCACCACCGCCAGUGGCGGUGGUGGUGGUGGUGGUGGUGGUGGCCGCGCCGAUGCUCCGGACGACGCGACCGCCUCGACCUUCCACAAGAAGGGCUGGACGUUUGUGAAGGGAAAGGAGAAGCUGGCGGUGCGGGAGCACGAGGAUGUGCAAGGGCAGUCGAAACUGCUGGCAAGUAUCUUUGGUGGAACGCUGGAGAGCCACUUGCAGGGAAAGCAGCGCCAGCGCGACCGCGUGUCAGUGCUCAUCGAGAGGUACUACUGUCUCCCCGUCGACGUUGGCUUUGCGCCGGAGUGUACCGUUGAGCAAGCUCUCGAGCGCACCUUCAUGACAGAGCGGAUCUAUGACAGCGAGCAUGAGAAAAAACUCAAGAAGACUCUCCGCCUCGGCCGUCUGCCCUCCGUUCUCUUUCUGCAGCUGCGCCGCUGGGCCGUGACGCGCGAGGGCGAGCUCGUGAAGCUCGACAACGUUGUGCGUAUCAAGCGCACCUUGCUGAUUCCUCGUACCAUCUGCGCUGAUGAGACACUUGGCAACACCGAGCGAGCGUACCGUCUCCUGUCGGUUGUGUGCCAUCGCGGUGACGCCGUUAGUCGGGGGCACUAUGUCACCUACUUAGUGCACCAUGCCGCGACCCCAGCCGUCCUGAAGGUGCAGUCGAGUGAGCCGGGCAACAAGGACACUGCAAUCCUGCGUUCGCCGCCUGACGCGGCGACAGUGAUUCUCUGCAAUGACGCCAACAUUUCUGUGUGUCCAGCAAAGAACAUGGAGAAGGAGACCAUGUACUUUCUCGUCUACCAGAAGACAAGCUGAUAUGCCCCCCCCUCCCCGCUUCCCCCAACCCCUCCAACCUUGAACGGCAACGGCUGUUUUUUUUUGUCUUGUGUGCUUUUUUGUUUUUGUUGCGCGUCGCGUAUGUGUCUGUGCUCGUCGCUAUCCAACGGUGGUUUGGGCUUCCUGUGUGCGCGUUUUCGUCCCGUAGCAAAAGGUUUUGUUUUCUUUUUCGGGCCUGCGCGACUGUUUGAUCGGCCACAUACAUCGUGUACCUGUAUUCAAGUUUCACCAUCUCGUUGCACCCUCGCGUUCGGCAACGCACCGCGCUCUUGAUUAGGGAGAGAUGAAGCUACCGCUUUCCUCACGUUUCCCUUUGGCUCGUUUUGCAGCUCGUUCGCUGCUCUCUCCCCACAUGAAAUCACGAAAAGGAGAAGGAGUGAUGUUUCGCUCGCUCGCUCGCUCUGCCACGGCGAGCGUUACAGUCAAAGAGCCUUCUGCGCACAGAAUCGUGUGUGUGUGUGUGUGUCUGCAGAAGUGUUUCUGCGUUUCGCUCCUGUUCAUCAAUCCCGUUUAUACUGUCUCCACUUCUCCUUCCUUCCCCCUCUCUAUCCCCCAUUAUUUCAUGUGCCUAUUGCAUCCCACGCACACGACUUUUCGACGCCAACGGCAAACUGUGCCGCACAUGUUCUCGCUUCUCCGCGCUCGAUCGUCGGCCCAUCAG